GACAGAGGGGGCAAGCGUUGCUCGGAAUUACUGGGCGUAAAGGGCGCGUAGGCGGGAUGGCAAGUCGGUCGUGAAAUCCCUCGGCUCAACUGAGGAGCGUCGAUCGAAACUGCCGUUCUUGAGGGUUGCAGAGGAGACUGGAAUUCCCGGUGUAGCGGUGAAAUGUGUAGAGAUCGGGAGGAACACCGGUGGCGAAGGCGGGUCUCUGGGCCGAAAUUGACGCUGAGGAGCGAAAGCGUGGGGAGCGAACAGG
rnacentral:rRNA from 1 species